rnacentral:misc_RNA from 1 species
GUGAAUCAUCGAAUCUUUGAACGCAAAUUGCACUCUCUGGUAUUCCGGUGAGUAUGCCUGUUCGAGGGUCAGUUUAAAUAACAAUCGGUGUGGUUGCUGCCUUUCGUGGUGACGCACCGGAUUUGGGUCGUCUAGCUUUUGGUUCAGUGAUCUAUAAUUUUUGAUGAUUUUUUCGAUAGUAUUUACAUGUUUUUACGUACGUUUGCGACAUAGAAUUCUAGGUGUGAUUAUCCUCAUGAUUGGGGUAUG